rnacentral:rRNA from 1 species
GUGGGGAAUAUUGGACAAUGGGCGAAAGCCUGAUCCAGCCAUGCCGCGUGUGUGAAGAAGGUCUUCGGAUUGUAAAGCACUUUAAGUUGGGAGGAAGGGCAGUAAGUUAAUACCUUGCUGUUUUGACGUUACCGACAGAAUAAGCACCGGCUAACUUCGUGCCAGCAGCCGCGGUAAUACGAAGGGUGCAAGCGUUAAUCGGAAUUACUGGGCGUAAAGCGCGCGUAGGUGGUUUUGUAAGUUGGAGGUGAAAUCCCCGGGCUCAACCUGGGAACUGCAUCCAAAACUGCAUGACUAGAGUACGGUAGAGGGUAGUGGAAUUGCCUGUGUAGCGGUGAAAUGCGUAGAUAUAGGAAGGAACACCAGUGGCGAAGGCGACUACCUGGACUGAUACUGACACUGAGGUGCGAAAGCGUGGGGAGCAAACAGGAUUAGAUACCCGGGUAGUCC